UAUGGAGAACAGGGUCUUGCUAUGUUGCCCAGGCUGGUCUUUAACUCCUGGAUUCAAGCAAUCCUCCCACCUCUGCCUCCCUAAGUGCUGGAAUUACAGGUGUGAGCAACCAUGCCUGGCUGGAAAUAAUUUUAAUUCAGGGAAAAAUAUUAAAAAGCUUAUUGGCCACCAUCUAAGCCACAUUCUUCAGUUCAGCUUUAUUGGUAAUAAAGCUGAUAUUUUCACCUUUCCAUUGCUUCCAAACUUAUAAGGAAGAGAUUAAACUUAUUGCCCUUAUAAUACUCCAACAGUGUUAGAUAAGAUGGCCUCAAUGUAUUGUCACAACU
rnacentral:lncRNA from 10 species